GAGUUUGAUCUUGGCUCAGAUUGAACGCUGGCGGAAUGCUUUACACAUGCAAGUCGAACGGCAGCACGGGGGCAACCCUGGUGGCGAGUGGCGAACGGGUGAGUAAUACAUCGGAACGUGCCCAAUCGUGGGGGAUAACUACGCGAAAGCGUAGCUAAUACCGCAUACGAUCUACGGAUGAAAGCGGGGGAUCGCAAGACCUCGCGCGAUUGGAGCGGCCGAUGGCAGAUUAGGUAGUUGGUGGGGUAAAGGCUCACCAAGCCUUCGAUCUGUAGCUGGUCUGAGAGGACGACCAGCCACACUGGGACUGAGACACGGCCCAGACUCCUACGGGAGGCAGCAGUGGGGAAUUUUGGACAAUGGGCGCAAGCCUGAUCCAGCCAUUCCGCGUGCAGGAUGAAGGCCCUCGGGUUGUAAACUGCUUUUGUACGGAACGAAAGGCGCUUUCUAAUACAGAGCGCUCAUGACGGUACCGUAAGAAUAAGCACCGGCUAACUACGUGCCAGCCGCCGCC
rnacentral:rRNA from 1 species